CGAGACAGGGAAGCUACUAGUAAUGUCAGUCUGAGGCAACAUAGACACAACCGUCUGAGCCUCUGAGGUGUCAGUGUUAUAUAGUCGCCGCCUGCAUGUUAUGUUAGUGAUUCUUCCGUCCAGGUUCUCUGAAUGUUAAAGCGGAUGCUUUAUCACGCUCCAUGAGUUCCGCUGAAGAAUCUUCAGAACAAGUCUCUCGUCCAGUUCUCCAUCCUGUUGUCUUCGCUUUCACUCAAGUGUCUUCUGUUCCGCCUCCAGGCAAGAUGUUUGUUUCUCCUGAGCUGCUCCUAAAUCUACUGUCUUGGGCUCAUACAUCCAAGUUCUCUGGACAUCCUGGGGUCCUGAAGUCUUAUAAGUUCUUGUUUCAGUCCUACUGGUGGCCUCAUAUGAAAUCCGAUAUCCAAGAAUUCGUGGCUUCAUGUCCCAAGUGUGCCCAGCACAAAGUUCCUCGUCAGGCUCCUGUUGGUCAACUGCUGCCAAAUUCUGUACCAAGUCGUCCCUGGUCUCAUCUGUCAAUGGAUUGUAUCGCUGACCUACCUCCUUCCAAAGGGUACGACCAUCUGGGUAGUGGUCGAUAGGUUUUCGAAGAUGGCCCAUUUUGUUCCACUGAUUGGCCUACCCUCUGCUCCAAAGCUUGCUCACGUGAGAUCUUCAGAUUACAUGAACUUCCAACUGAAAUCAUAUCCGACCAUGGAGUUCAAUUUGUAGCAAGAUUCUGGAGAGCUUUAUGCUCUGCUCUGCAAGUCAAGCUCAAGUUCUCUACAGCGUAUCAUCCUCAGACGAAUGGACAGAGAGGGUAAACCAGGAGCUUGAGACUUUUUUAAGACAUUAUAUUUCUUUGUCACAAGAUGACUGGGUGGUUUUACUGCGUUAGGCAGAAUUCGCUCACAACUUUCAUUACCAUACUGCCACCAAUUCAACUUCUUUCUUUGCAGUAUAUGGUCAACAUCAUAGAGUUCCAGAUUUCCAAGAUCUUCCAGUUAUUGACGUGCCUGCAGCCACCUCCGCUCUUCAGCAAUUCUCCCAGGUUUGGAAAAAGAUUAAUUUCUCUCUCAAGAAAGCAUCCCGCCAGUACAAAGUCUUCGCUGACCGGAAAAGGCGAGCUGUUCCCAGUUAAAACCAGAUGAUAAAGUCUGGUUAUCUACCCGUAAUCUCCGUCUCAGAGUUCCUUCAAUGAAAUUUGCUCCACAGUUCAUUGGUCCAUUUCCAGUAGAGCGUGUCAUCAAUCCAGUGGCCUACAAGUUGAAGUUGCCUCCAUAUUUAAAAAUUCCCAAUUCAUUUCAUAUUUCUCUCCUUAGACCUCUGAUUCUCAACCAUUUCCAGAAAGCUCUUCCAGCGGCUCCAAAGGUCCAAACUCAUCGGGGCGUAGAGUUCAAGGUUGAGAGGAUCCUGGAUUCCUGUUGUCCGUAUGGUCAUCUACAGUAUCUCAUUGACUGGUCUGGGUUUGGGGUAAAUUUAGCACAGCUACGAUCAUCUUCCCUGACAUGCGGGGGGACGCCCAGCACAGAGCUAGUCUGCCCCGCAUUUCAGUCCAGCCCCCCCUGCACAAAUACAAAAGCAUCACACAGCGGCGAUGCUUUUGUAUUUAUGGAGUAACUCCCGGCCAGCGCAGCUCCUGCGGCUGGCCGGGAGUUGAUCGUCGCUGUCCAGCCCCCUCCCGCCCUGCGACCGCUUCUGCCUGUUAGGCAGAGGCGAUCGCUACUGAACGACGGACUUCGGCCAUCCGGCAUGCGCCGGUGCAUGCGCAAUUCCGACCCGAUUGCUGCGGAAUGACCUCCAUGGUCCUGAAGAGAGGAGUUGGGUAAACGCCACUGAUUUACAUGCCACUGAUGUACAUGUCCAAGUCUUUCACAAGCAGUUUCCUUCCAAGCCUCGUGGGUGUUCAGUGCCCACCCAUAAAAGCGGGGGUACUGUCAAGAAACAGCGUUCAGCGGUAUCUCACUUACCAGCGCGUUUGUGUCCUGUCCACGGUGCACAGAACCCUUUACCUCUUUGCUCCCCUGAAGUCUACCUGGUGUGUACCCUCCAUCUGCACUGCAUGAGUGCCGCCAUGACACCGGUAUCAUACAAUCCUGCGCUGUGUAUGCACAAAAUGACUCAUUCAUCCAAUGGCUGCUGACCAGUGGGUAUCAACUCCGGCUGAGUAUCAUUGCCUUGAACAAUGCGUCACAUCCUGUGCACAGCGUCUCCUGGCUCCAGUCUGCGGUCUCUUGAGACUCUCCUGUGUCAGAGCUCUGUGGAACUACAGGAACCAGCCAUCCAGUUUGGCUGCAGCUCCAUCUGCAAUCUGCUAUAGUGUUCACCAGCAGUUAGAGACUCACUCCAGGUGCUGCAUUACCUUCUCACCUGCUCGUUAUCAGUCUGCAGCAGUGUUGUGCCAUUUCACCUGCACUAGGAAAUCUGCUCUGCUCCUCUGCUGUCUCAUGCUAAAGCCAAACCUGGUGCCAUUGCUGUUUAGCUUACCAACUGCCUGUGUAGUUCAGCUGCAGUACAUCAUCGGUUUUCAGACCGAACAAUCUCUAAUAGGCCCUACACACUGGCCGAUUUGUUAGAAAGAUAUGAACGAGAACUCGUUCAUAUCUUUCAGUGUGGAGGCUCCAGCGAUGAAUGAUGCGCGGCCCCGCGCUCGUUCAUCGCUGGUCCCCCGUCGGCUGUACAUGCUGGCCAAUAUGGACGAUCUCGUCCAUAUUUGCCUGCACUUCAAUGCAGCCGGGUGACGGUGGGAGUGAAGAAACGUCACUCCCCCCGUCACUGCCCCCCCGCCGCCGAGUCGCUCUUUGGCCGUAUCCGCCGUCGGGCAGCUCGGCGGCUGGUCGGCCAGUGUGUAGGGCCCAUAAGAGACUUACUAUUCCAGAGACCCUAUCAGCUUCCACGCUGAAUUCUAUGCUCAUAUCAUCACUGUUCCAGUUGUAUAUAUUUUGUGUGUGGACUUUCAAUAAAUAUAAUUUGCGCACAUUAGCAGGAACUUA